rnacentral:lncRNA from 1 species
UUGGUUUAUGUAAUAGUUGUCUACGUUCCUUCCUCCUCUGAAAAUUAAUGUGGGUUGUCAGAAUUACAGACUUUUUAAUGCCUAAGAUUUUAAGAAAUAAACCUGUAGGUGUUGGCAGGACUUAUUUCAUUUAGAUUUUAAUUAGUUUAGAUGUGUAGAAAUGAUUUUUAUCUGUAAGGCUCUCUCUCCACCAAAAUAAGUGAAUUGUUUGGGAGUAAACUAGUUGGUAAGUUGGGCCUUGCUGAUAGAUUUAUACACUGGUGUGUAAGCCCUAUACUGCUGCUGUCACUAAUGUUUUUGAUAGUUUACUUAGGCAUGACUGCUGUUAAUGAAGUUUGCUUUGUGAAUACUCUCUCUUUCCUUAGCCUUGGCAACAUUCUUCUCUGUGCUAUCUUUAUGCUUUUAGAAGAACUAGAAAAAGCAGAUUUAAGAACUGUAAAGAAAUAAUACUAGCUUUGAGUUUUUAAAAAAAAUAUUGAAAUCCCAUCUCUGUAUCCAAAUCCUACUACACAUUUGAUAAUAAAUCUGCCAAACUGAGUUAUGGAAUAUGAGCUGCCUUUUAAAAUCCUUAUUCUCCUGCUGAAGGUGUUACCUCACCAAAUAAAAAUAUUUGCAGCUGCAGCCAACAUGAGACUUUGCAAACAUCCUAGUGAUUUGGUUAUCUCAACUAUGUCUUGAACAGAACUGAGAAGAGGGGAAAAAAAUGACUAAAUGGGGUGAGUUGUUUCAUAUUUUCUUUACAGAUAGGCUGCUACAGAACUGCAAAGUAGCUAUCAGUGAUACUUUCUCUGGAAUAAAGAAAUUUUGAUUGUAGAACAUUCUCCCAUACUUAGGAAUCUGAAGCACAAGGAGCUUUGCUUCACUUAAAGGUAACAAAAGUGCUUGUAAGAUAACAGCGAUGAACUUCCUAUCUCCAUAUGGUUGUUUGGUCUAAGAGACUUUUAGUCCACUGUGGCCUUUCUCUUCAUAGUACUGCGGCUCUGCUCAUGAUGAUUUUCAGUGUCAACCAAAAAGUAAGUGAAUGUGCAGGCAUGAAUACUGUUUAAACCAAAGAAAUUAUUUGGGAUAUUAAAUCUGUGGAUAUUUGGGAUUUAAAAUAAUGGAUAUUUAAUCCGUAGUAUCAUUGCUUUUGCCUAAAACGUAGCAUUUCCAUCAAAUGGAUUCAAAUGUUGAUUAAAACCUAAUAUAUUUUAUUUAGCAAAAUACCGUCUUCUAGGGAUCUUAGUUCUAAUGUUUUUUUGAACUUGAACAAACAAAAUGGACUUUGCUUUACUAGUUACUUUCAUAGAAAGCCCUUCAUUCGAGGGAACACUUGAAAUUCUCUUAGUUUUAAUUUAUAAAUGAGGAAGGUAGUAAUGUUGGAUAUUGUUUUCUCUAUCCUCCAUUCCACCCUCCCCUAUUUUGUAGCAGUAAUCAAGGUUUGAGUGAGCCUCAUUGACUUAGCCUCAUCACUCUUAGUACCUCUUAAUAAGGGCAGCAGGUCCUCCUAGAGGGGUAUUUUGACAGUUUGUAGGGGUGUUUCUUCAGUGGUUAGGGGACACUGCAAACAAUUUGAUGGGUAGGACCAGGAAGAAUUAUCCCUUGUCCUGCAUGACUUUCUGAUUUCCUAUCAGAUACUUAAAUAGGUAAAAAACCUGUUUAUAAUGAUCUGAUCCUCGAGUCUGACUUUUUAAUAUAUUAAUGCAAAAUAUUUUUGUGUGGUUUUAAUAUGCAGUACACUGAAUUUUUAGCAAUACAACUACCUUAUAAAUCAAGGAAAUAAUGUUUAGAAUGCUUUCAAGAGUUGUUCGCCAUUUUGGAAAAUUAUAUCAUCAACAUAUUAUUGGGAUUGCCAUUAUAAUACACAAGGGUCAGUUUUCAUUUGUAGCUGUCACAUUCAUCUCUGUCUUCUGUUGUAGCCGUACCUGAGUAUUUAUGUAUUACAACGUACAUUUUAUCGUAAAUUUUAUUUCUCCCUUAACAAUUAAGAGUUUUAUUUGGUUUUUCUUUAAGUUGUGUGUGUCUGUGUGUAGGUAGGUAUUAUCUAGGAAUUUUAUUUCAGCAGAGUAAAAGGAUAUCAGAUUGGGUGGGGAACCAUUGCUGUAAACAAGGUAAUAAUCUGAUUCUGUGUUGAACAGGUAACCUAGGUUGAUCCAAAGAGAAUGACACCUAGGAUUUGUUGAAGAAUGGAUGAGGAAGUGCUCUCGCUAAGGGGUGUGGUCUGCCUGUGUAAGGUUAGGCCUGGGACUGUUAUAGCCAUUUUGCUGUCUUGAGGGAAACUACCUAGUAGAGAAAAAUGGAAUACACAGUGGAAACCACCUUGAGCAUAGGCUAGUUUGGUAUUUCGUGCAAAAUACACCCAUCUUCAGAGUUCUCUUUUGAGUUUGAAAACACAACCUAUGUAUUUUAAGGGUCUCCAUUUGCCUAAAUCUCAUCUUUAGCAGUUUAAUCUACAAACAGCAC